rnacentral:rRNA from 1 species
CCACGGGUGAGUAACACGUAUCCAACCUGCCGUCUACUCUUGGACAGCCUUCUGAAAGGAAGAUUAAUACAAGAUGGCAUCAUGAGUUCACAUGUUCACAUGAUUAAAGGUAUUCCGGUAGACGAUGGGGAUGCGUUCCAUUAGAUAGUAGGCGGGGUAACGGCCCACCUAGUCUUCGAUGGAUAGGGGUUCUGAGAGGAAGGUCCCCCACAUUGGAACUGAGACACGGUCCAA